rnacentral:rRNA from 1 species
ACUCCUACGGGAGGCAGCAGUGGGGAAUAUUGGACAAUGGGGGCAACCCUGAUCCAGCCAUGCCGCGUGUGUGAAGAAGGCCUUCGGGUUGUAAAGCACUUUCAGUGGUGAGGAAAGGGUAACGGUUAAUACCCGUUAUCUGUGACGUUAGCCACAGAAGAAGCACCGGCUAACUCCGUGCCAGCAGCCGCGGUAAUACGGAGGGUGCGAGCGUUAAUCGGAAUUACUGGGCGUAAAGCGCACGCAGGCGGAUUGUUAAGCUAGAUGUGAAAG